rnacentral:rRNA from 1 species
ACGGUGAAGCCCAGCUUGCUGGGUGGAUCAGUGGCGAACGGGUGAGUAACACGUGAGCAAUCUGCCCCUGACUCUGGGAUAAGCGCUGGAAACGGCGUCUAAUACUGGAUACGAACCGUGGAGGCAUCUUCAACGGUUGGAAAGAUUUUUUGGUCAGGGAUGAGCUCGCGGCCUAUCAGCUUGUUGGUGAGGUAAUGGCUCACCAAGGCGUCGACGGGUAGCCGGCCUGAGAGGGUGACCGGCCACACUGGGACUGAGACACGGCCCAGACUCCUACGGGAGGCAGCAGUGGGGAAUAUUGCACAAUGGGCGAAAGCCUGAUGCAGCAACGCCGCGUGAGGGAUGACGGCCUUCGGGUUGUAAACCUCUUUUAGCAGGGAAGAAGCGAAAGUGACGGUACCUGCAGAAAAAGCGCCGGCUAACUACGUGCCAGCAGCCGCGGUAAUACGUAGGGCGCAAGCGUUAUCCGGAAUUAUUGGGCGUAAAGAGCUCGUAGGCGGUUUGUCGCGUCUGCUGUGAAAUCCCGAGGCUCAACUUCGGGUCUGCAGUGGGUACGGGCAGACUAGAGUGCGGUAGGGGGAGAUUGGAAUUCCUGGUGUAGCGGUGGAAUGCGCAGAUAUCAGGAGGAACACCGAUGGCGAAAGCAGAUCUCUGGGCCGUAACUGACGCUGAGGAGCGAAAGGGUGGGGAGCAAACAGGCUUAGAUACCCUGGUAGUCCACCCCGUAAACGUUGGGAACUAGUUGUGGGGUCCAUUCCACGGAUUCCGUGACGCAGCUAACGCAUUAAGUUCCCCGCCUGGGGAGUACGGCCGCAAGGCUAAAACUCAAAGGAAUUGACGGGGACCCGCACAAGCGGCGGAGCAUGCGGAUUAAUUCGAUGCAACGCGAAGAACCUUACCAAGGCUUGACAUAUACGAGAACGCUGCAGAAAUGUAGAACUCUUUGGACACUCGUAAACAGGUGGUGCAUGGUUGUCGUCAGCUCGUGUCGUGAGAUGUUGGGUUAAGUCCCGCAACGAGCGCAACCCUCGUUCUAUGUUGCCAGCACGUAAUGGUGGGAACUCAUGGGAUACUGCCGGGGUCAACUCGGAGGAAGGUGGGGAUGACGUCAAAUCAUCAUGCCCCUUAUGUCUUGGGCUUCACGCAUGCUACAAUGGCCGGUACAAAGGGCUGCAAUACCGUGAGGUGGAGCGAAUCCCAAAAAGCCGGUCCCAGUUCGGAUUGAGGUCUGCAACUCGACCUCAUGAAGUCGGAGUCGCUAGUAAUCGCAGAUCAGCAACGCUGCGGUGAAUACGUUCCCGGGUCUUGUACACACCGCCCGUCAAGUCAUGAAAGUCGGUAACACCUGAAGCCGGUGGCCCAACCC